GGGACACCUGGAGAUCUGUCACCUGCUGCUGCAGGCCGGCGCCAACAUCAACGCCGUGGACAAGCAGCGCCGCACGCCGCUGAUGGAGGCCGUGGCGCACGACCAGCUGGAGGCAGCGCGGUACCUGCUGCUGCGCGGCGGCUGCGUCUACAGCAAGGAGGAGGACGGCUCCACCUGCCUGCACCACGCGGCCAAAAACGGGAACCUGGAGAUGGUGGAGCUGCUGCUGAGCACGGGGCAGGUGGAUGUAAACGCACAGGUGA